GGGGAAACUGGCUGUGACAUCUGUCCACACAUUGAUUUCCAGGGUUGAUGCAGAAUGUCUGAGCUGAUUGUAGGUCUCCCCACCACCCCAUUUGUGUCCCUUCCAGAGUACAUUCUCAUUCAGAGUAAAUGAGCUUCUGACAGAGGACCAGUCAUGAAGGGUAUUUAAAAGGUAUAACCCUUGGCUCAAGUCUUGAGAAGUGAUCAUAAUUUAUUCAAAUACAUAUAAAUCUAU
rnacentral:sRNA from 1 species